rnacentral:rRNA from 1 species
CAGUCGCCGCGGUAAUACAGAGGGUGCGAGCGUUAAUCGGAUUUACUGGGCGUAAAGCGUGCGUAGGCGGCUUUUUAAGUCGGAUGUGAAAUCCCUGAGCUUAACUUAGGAAUUGCAUUCGAUACUGAGAAGCUAGAGUAUGGGAGAGGAUGGUAGAAUUCCAGGUGUAGCGGUGAAAUGCGUAGAGAUCUGGAGGAAUACCGAUGGCGAAGGCAGCCAUCUGGCCUAAUACUGACGCUGAGGUACAAAAGCAUGGGGAGCAAACAGGAUUAGAUACCCGAGUAGUCCCUGUCUCUUAUAC